rnacentral:rRNA from 1 species
AGGAUGAACGCUAGCUACAGGCUUAACACAUGCAAGUCGAGGGGCAGCAUGGUCUUAGCUUGCUAAGGCCGAUGGCGACCGGCGCACGGGUGAGUAACACGUAUCCAACCUGCCGUCUACUCUUGGACAGCCUUCUGAAAGGAAGAUUAAUACAAGAUGGCAUCAUGAGUCCGCAUGUUCACAUGAUUAAAGGUAUUCCGGUAGACGAUGGGGAUGCGUUCCAUUAGAUAGUAGGCGGGGUAACGGCCCACCUAGUCUUCGAUGGAUAGGGGUUCUGAGAGGAAGGUCCCCCACAUUGGAACUGAGACACGGUCCAAACUCCUACGGGAGGCAGCAGUGAGGAAUAUUGGUCAAUGGGCGAGAGCCUGAACCAGCCAAGUAGCGUGAAGGAUGACUGCCCUAUGGGUUGUAAACUUCUUUUAUAAAGGAAUAAAGUCGGGUAUGGAUACCCGUUUGCAUGUACUUUAUGAAUAAGGAUCGGCUAACUCCGUGCCAGCAGCCGCGGUAAUACGGAGGAUCCGAGCGUUAUCCGGAUUUAUUGGGUUUAAAGGGAGCGUAGAUGGAUGUUUAAGUCAGUUGUGAAAGUUUGCGGCUCAACCGUAAAAUUGCAGUUGAUACUGGAUAUCUUGAGUGCAGUUGAGGCAGGCGGAAUUCGUGGUGUAGCGGUGAAAUGCUUAGAUAUCACGAAGAACUCCGAUUGCGAAGGCAGCCUGCUAAGCUGCAACUGACAUUGAGGCUCGAAAGUGUGGGUAUCAAACAGGAUUAGAUACCCUGGUAGUCCACACGGUAAACGAUGAAUACUCGCUGUUUGCGAUAUACUGCAAGCGGCCAAGCGAAAGCGUUAAGUAUUCCACCUGGGGAGUACGCCGGCAACGGUGAAACUCAAAGGAAUUGACGGGGGCCCGCACAAGCGGAGGAACAUGUGGUUUAAUUCGAUGAUACGCGAGGAACCUUACCCGGGCUUAAAUUGCAGAUGAAUUACGGUGAAAGCCGUAAGCCGCAAGGCAUCUGUGAAGGUGCUGCAUGGUUGUCGUCAGCUCGUGCCGUGAGGCGUCGGCUUAAGUGCCAUAACGAGCGCAACCCUUGUUGUCAGUUACUAACAGGUUCCGCUGAGGACUCUGACAAGACUGCCAUCGUAAGAUGUGAGGAAGGUGGGGAUGACGUCAAAUCAGCACGGCCCUUACGUCCGGGGCUACACACGUGUUACAAUGGGGGGUACAGAGGGCCGCUACCACGCGAGUGGAUGCCAAUCCCCAAAACCUCUCUCAGUUCGGACUGGAGUCUGCAACCCGACUCCACGAAGCUGGAUUCGCUAGUAAUCGCGCAUCAGCCACGGCGCGGUGAAUACGUUCCCGGGCCUUGUACACACCGCCCGUCAAGCCAUGGGAGCCGGGGGUACCUGAAGUGCGUAACCGCGAGGAG